rnacentral:rRNA from 1 species
AACCUCCGCAAUGUGAGAAAUCGCGACGGGGGGAUCCCAAGUGCCAUUCUUAACGGGAUGGCUUUUCAUUAGUGUAAAGAGCUUUUGGAAUAAGAGCUGGGCAAGACCGGUGCCAGCCGCCGCGGUAACACCGGCAGCUCUAGUGGUAGCAAUUUUUAUUGGGCCUAAAGCGUCCGUAGCCGGUUUAAUAAGUCUCUGGUGAAAUCCUGUAGCUUAACUGUGGGAAUUGCUGGAGAUACUAUUAGACUUGAGACCGGGAGAGGUUAGGGGUACUCCCAGGGUAGAGGUGAAAUUCUGUAAUCCUGGGAGGACCGCCUGUUGCGAAGGCGUCUAACUGGAACGGUUCUGACGGUGAGGGACGAAAGUUAGGGGCGCGAACCGGAUUAGAUACCCGGGUAGUCCUAACUGUAAACGAUGCGGACUUGGUGUUGGGGUGGCUUUGAGCUGUCUCAGUGCCGAAGGGAAGCUGUUAAGUCCGCCGCCUGGGAAGUACGGUCGCAAGACUGAAACUUAAAGGAAUU